UCUCCUACAGCUGGUCAUAGAGGAUCCCACUGGCCACAGGGAUGAGCUACGGUUGGUGACAUGCGGGUCUGUUCUACCUGCUCAUGCAGCUUGCUGUUCCCCUGGUCCUGCUCAGACUUGAUCCAGAUGUACCAUCUCCAUCCAAUGAUAGAUGGCUGCUGGGCCAACAUUAUGACUUAAUCGGUCUGAUGAAUGAGCCUGUAGUGGGCAGCUGCCUUAUGGU
rnacentral:lncRNA from 1 species